AAGACUAUACUUUCAGGGAUCAUUUCUGUAAUAUGUGACUAGAGAAGUUCCUCUGAUCUUGUAGAGCAUCUGAAGCCAUGAAUAGGAGUCAGAGCGUCCUCUCCUGAGCGAGAAGCUGGCUCUAGUGUUGCUUCUUUGACUGACUUUGGCCAUUGACGAUCGUUCUCCCUUUCCUCUGGAAAGGAUAGAGGGAGAGGAAAUUAAU